AUUGAACGCUGGCGGCAGGCCUAACACAUGCAAGUCGAGCGGGGUUUUCGGACCUAGCGGCGGACGGGUGAGUAAUGCGUAGGAAGCUACCCGAUAGAGGGGGAUACCAGUUGGAAACGACUGUUAAUACCGCAUAAUGUCUACGGACCAAAGUGUGGGACCUUCGGGCCACAUGCUAUCGGAUGCGCCUACGUGGGAUUAGCUAGUUGGUGGGGUAAUGGCUCACCAAGGCGACGAUCCCUAGCUGGUUUGAGAGGAUGAUCAGCCUCACUGGGACUGAGACACUGUGCAGACUCCUACGGGAGGCAGCAGUGGGGAAUAUUGGACAAUGGGCGCAAGCCUGAUCCAGCCAUGCCGCGUGUGUGAAGAAGGCCUUCGGGUUGUAAAGCACUUUCAGUAGGGAGGAAGGGUGUUGUGUUAAUAGCACAGCAUUUUGGCGUUACCUACAGAAGAAGCACCGGCUAACUCUGUGCCAGCCGCCGCGGUAAGAC
rnacentral:rRNA from 1 species